AUGGCGCAUCAAGCAACAAUCCGAGUGGCUACAGACCUGACUGGAAGCUCAUUUGGCAAUGUGCAGUCCCUCCUAAGGUACGAAUUUUUGCAUGGAAGCUUGCAUCUAAUGCUUUGGCUACUCAGGAGAAUAUGUGCAGAAGAGGUAUGGAGGAAGAUCCCACAUGCACUGUGUGUGGACGGGAACCAGAAGAUGCUUUCCAUGCCCUACUCCGAUGCCCACAUGCGCGUGAGCUCUGGGCAGCAAUGCGUCAAGAAUGAACCCUCCCAGCUGAAGCAGCACCCUAUUGUUGAUGUUCAGAAGGGAAAGCAAGUGGUGGAUUACGUCCAGAGCUGCACCACUACACGCCACUGGUCCAAUGGCCGUCAAAAAGUGCGUCAGAAAUGGGAACCUCCACCAGCGGACCGGGUCAAACUCAAUGUGGAUGGAUCGUUCAUUCCAGACGGGUCAGCAGGAACGGGCAUGGCGCUUCGUGACAGUGCUGGAUCCUCGAUCUUUGUUGCAUGCAGGUACCUCUUUGGAUGCGCUGAUGCCGUGGACGCAGAACUUGCUGCGAUGGAGGAGGGCCUGGCCCUUGCCCUCUAG
rnacentral:rRNA from 1 species